rnacentral:tRNA from 2 species
GCCGCUGUAGCUCAGUAGGUUAGAGCGCCUGAUUGUGGAUCAGGAGGUCCCUUGUUCGAAUCAAGGCAGCGGUACCA